GAUGAACGCUGGCGGCGUGCCUAAUACAUGCAAGUCGAGCGAACAGACGAGGAGCUUGCUCCUCUGACGUUAGCGGCGGACGGGUGAGUAACACGUGGAUAACCUACCUAUAAGACUGGGAUAACUUCGGGAAACCGGAGCUAAUACCGGAUAAUAUAUUGAACCGCAUGGUUCAAUAGUGAAAGACGGUUUUGCUGUCACUUAUAGAUGGAUCCGCGCCGCAUUAGCUAGUUGGUAAGGUAACGGCUUACCAAGGCGACGAUGCGUAGCCGACCUGAGAGGAUGAUCGGCCACACUGGAACUGAGACACGGUCCCGACUCCUAGGGGAGGCAGCAUUAGGGAAUCUUCCGCAAUGGGCGAAAGCCUGACGGAGCAACGCCGCGUGAGUGAUGAAGGUCUUCGGAUCGUAAAACUCUGUUAUUAGGGAAGAACAAAUGUGUAAGUAACUAUGCACGUCUUGACGGUACCUAAUCAGAAAGCCACGACUAACUACGUG
rnacentral:rRNA from 1 species